rnacentral:rRNA from 1 species
UACGAACUGUGCGAACGUUAUUCGGAAUCACUGGGCUUAAAGGGCGCGUAGGCGGGCCGCAAAGUCAGGGGUGAAAGCCUCCAGCUCAACUGGAGAAGUGCCUCUGAUACUGGCGGCCUCGAGGGAGAUAGGGGCGUGCGGAACUUCCGGUGGAGCGGUGAAAUGCGUAGAUAUCGGAAGGAACACCGGUGGCGAAAGCGGCGCGCUGGAUCUCUUCUGACGCUGAGGCGCGAAAGCCAGGGGAGCGAACGGG